rnacentral:rRNA from 1 species
GACGAACGCUGGCGGCGGGCUUAACACAUGCAAGUCGAACGGAAAGGCCCUGCUUGUGUGGGGUGCUCGAGUGGCGAACGGGUGAGUAACACGUGAGUAACCUGCCCUGGACUUUGUGAUAACUGCAGGAAACUGGUGCUAAUACCUAAUAGGAGCGCCUGCUGCAUGGUGGGGGUUGGAAAUUUUCGUCGGUUGGGGAUGUACUCGGGGCUUAUCAGCUGGUGGGGUGGGGAGUGGCCUACCAAGGCGUUGAUGGGUAGCCGGCCUGAGAGGAUGAUCAGUCACACUGGGACUGGGACGCGCGCCAGACUCCUACGGGAGGCAGCAGGGGGGAAUAGUGGACAAUGGGCGAAAGCCUGAUCCAGCCAUGCCGCGUGUGUGAAGAAGGUCUUCGGAGUGUAAAGCACUGUAAGUUGGGAGGAAGGGCAGUAAGUUAAUACCUGGCUGUUUUGACGUUACCAACAGAAUAAGCACCGGCUAACUUCGUG